GGUUCCCAGAGGAUGAAAUGUCAGCCUCCGGCGGCAGCGACAUUCACCCAGAAGCACUAAAAAUAGACUCAAAAACAGAAGCAUCGAGUCUCUGGAGGCUGGAGGCAUAAGAUGAGGAAACUGGAACUCAAAGAAGGGAAGCAUUUGGUGAAGGGCACAAGAGAAAAUGGCAGACCUGAGGCCCAGACAGGAGCAGAUGACCAUCUGAAACAUUGCUUGCAUGGAGAAAUCUGCUUCAACAUGGUGGCUGUGCUGAGAAUGGAAACCGGGUUCCAGAA